AGCAACGACGCAGAUGAGGUAUUAUCGCCAAUCUCAGUACCGAACACAGUAGUUAAGCCCAUACGCCGAAAGUACUUGGUUGGAAACGGCCUGGGAGGAUAGGUAGUUGCUGGUU
rnacentral:rRNA from 1 species